AUAACAUUGCUGAGGUAGUGACAAAAAAUACCGAUAUCGGACUAUGGUUCGACAAUUGGAAUGGGGUGGGUGCAAACAGCCCGCCGAGCAACCAUUAGAGGGCAAGUCUGGUGCCAGCAGCCGCGGUAAUUCCAGCUCUAAUAGUGUAUACUAACGUUGCUGAUGUUAAAAAGCUCGUAGUUGGAUUUCAGACGGGGCUAUACGUCUUUGUGUUUUUUGUCGGGCCGGGUUUGCUGGUUGGAGGUUUUCUUCUCUGCCGUGGGUUGUUUCAAGAUCCCGGUGGGGGAGGGGCACUGGUCAGCUCCGGAACGGCCGCAGAGAUUGCCUCGUCAAUAAAUUUUUUCGAAUUGACGUGGUCCUCUUUAUUGAGGUAUUGCGUCGGUCCGGAAGGUUUACUUUGAAGAAAAUGGAGUGUUCAAAG
rnacentral:rRNA from 1 species